CGUGCCCCAGGUGUCCCCGUGUCCUACUGCAUUGAUGUCCACCAGAUGUGGGCCACCGAAAGUCCUCCUGGUCCGACCCAGGCUCUGCAAAACCAGUUCCACUUGUGGUGGCACCAAGUCCCUUGGAGCUAGGAUUCACCUCCUGGCAUCACUGGAGACCUGAGCAGAGCCACACAGGCUGUGAAAACAGAGCAGAGUCCUAUUUGAAAUUCAGAGGGCACCGUCAGCCCAUGUCAUUGGCAGAGAAUAAAUAAAUACCUCCUCUGAGCA
rnacentral:lncRNA from 1 species